rnacentral:rRNA from 1 species
CCUACGGGAGGCAGCAGUGGGGGAUAUUGCACAAUGGGGGGAACCCUGAUGCAGCGACGCCGCGUGGGUGAAGAAGCGCCUCGGCGCGUAAAGCCCUGUCAGCAGGGAAGAAAAUGACGGUACCUGAAGAAGAAGCCCCGGCUAACUACGUGCCAGCAGCCGCGGUAAUACGUAGGGGGCAAGCGUUAUCCGGAUUUACUGGGUGUAAAGGGGGCGCAGACGGCGAUGCAAGCCAGGAGUGAAAGCCCGGGGCCCAACCCCGGGACUGCUCUUGGAACUGCGUGGCUAGAGUGCAGGAGGGGCAGGCGGAAUGCCUGGUGUAGCGGUGAAAUGCGUAGAGAUCAGGAGGAACACCGGUGGCGAAGGCGGCCUGCUGGACUGCAACUGACGUUGAGGCCCGAAAGCGUGGGGAGCAAACAGGAUUAGAUACCCUAGUAGUC